CUUCGGUAAAACGUAACUCAUGAUCCGCAGUCAUGAAAACUUUUGUCAUGUGUAGGGAAAAGCGCAGAAACAAAAAUUGCAUGUAGAAUCAUACACGGUAAUUAAAAUGAGGAGUAGUAAUAUAUUUUUAAGGCGAGGUGAAUGAUUUACAUAAUAAAUGGUCAGCGCAUACAAGAAAGUCCGACUGUUGGCGAUGCAGAGGUAAUAUUGGUCGCACUUCCACCAUACAGACAGUACCCACGUUCCGUUUACAUUUUAAAGGCGGUUUUUUAACGUGAUCACUUUAAACGCUUAUUAGAGGCUAGCGAACCGCACAAGAUGUCAUACAAGUACUUUUGCGUAAGCUUCAUCGACAUGUGAAUAACUUUGAAAGCUAGCGCAAUGUUUUCACAGUAGUGUGGGAAAACAGAUUUGAACAGAGGGAAAUUGAGAAAUUUAACAACUAGGAUUUUUUCCCGUACAACUUUUUCCUUAGCUUCUUAAUUAUCUAAUGGAUUAGUACGAUGUUUCGUAAGGUAAAUUGCAUAUACCGAUGAUUUAAUCACCUUUCGGUCAUCAUAGUCGGAGUAUUCGGAAAAAUUCCUUCAUUCCGUGUACGCUUGACACCGGCCGCAAAGACUCCGCACAAGACUCCGAAAACUCCGGAUAUCUGCUGCGCACCGGCAUGUGAUCAUCGGUGUUAUUGGGUGGGGUUGAUGAUGCAUUUUCACCUUCAAAUUAGAAAAUCCUGAUUUUCAAUAAUGAAAUGCAUCAACGCACGAUAGAUAUGAAUAAAGACUUUGUAGGGAUUCUUUAUUGUUAAUACGGUAAUCCAAGGUGAAUGACUGUGUAAAUUUAACGAGCUUGAACAAAAAACAAGGAAACUGAAUUUGUUUUGAAAGAAAUCCAAACAAAGGCUGGUAUCAUUCGAAUCUCCCGUUGGUAUUUAACUUAGAAAGCAAAUGUUCAAAGAAAUUUUUAAAACUAAAUUAAAAAUAGCUCCUCCUUCAAUAAUACGGCUUUCUCAUGUUUCUCUAAACAGAAAACCCUUUGACCAGCUGUCUCCCGUUUGAUUUAAAACGCGUCUCUCGUAGCAAAGGAUGAUGAUUGUGUUUCUUUACUUACAAUUGUGUAUUUUCUUUCUUUCGUUUUCUUUUUACAUGACUAUAUAUAGUAAAUUAACAAUUGCUGUCUUGGAAGUUGAUUCAUGCUGUGAUUAAGCCAAAAUCGCUAGGUGGCUGUGCUUUAUCCAAAUACCGAUGAAAUCUAGUUUAGAGUAGCGAACCCCAAGCUGCUGCGCUGCAGCAGACGCACUACCUCGUUAUUAAUUGAACUGGUAUGCUUCACUAUUCCGUAUAUGUUCUGUUAUGCUCGGUUGGGAUGAAAAAACGAGGGCGUGAAAAAGCGCGCUUAUAGCAUUGACGUCAGAGCUAUUUUAUCCUUUACAUUGAUUUAUCUACUAAGCAUGGUUAUUCUAUUAAGCAAUUCCUGAUAUAGUUUGAUUUACUGACACUUUUGCAACUAAGAUCUCAAUUCACUAGCAUGAAAUUGUUUGAACGAUUUCGAUAAAAAUAUUAUAAACCAACAUCUAGAAGACUAAUAGUUUCAAUAUUUUUAUGCUUCAAAUGUCCA
rnacentral:lncRNA from 1 species